GACGAACGCUGGCGGCGUGCCUAACACAUGCAAGUCGAACGAAACGCCACUAAGUGCUUGCACUUGCUGAAGGUGAGUGGCGAACGGGUGAGGAACACAUCGGUAUCUUACCUUUUGGGGGGGGUUAAGAAUCGGAACCUACUGCUAUAACGGAUUAGAACAUAGGAUGACAUGAUCGGAUCUUGGAAGCUGGCGCGAGUUAACGCUCCGAUUUGGACCUAGGUUGUUUUAGCUAGUUGGUGGGGUAAAGGCCUACCAAGGCGAUGAUGCAUAGCCGACCUGAGAGGAUGAUCGGCCACAUUGGAACUGAGACACGGCCCAAACUCCUACGGGAGGCAGCAGUGGGGAAUCUUCGGCAAUGGUCGCAAGUCUGACGGAGCAACGCCGCGUGGGUGAAGAAGGCCUUCGGGUCGUAAAGCCCUGUUGUUGGGGAAGAACAGCGCAUGGAGUAAAUGUUGCGGGUGUGACGGUAUCUAACGAAAAAGCACCGGCUAACUACGUG
rnacentral:rRNA from 1 species